ACUCCUACGGGAGGCAGCAGUCGAGAAUUUUUCUCAAUGGGGGAAACCCUGAAGGAGCGACGCCGCGUGGAGGAUGAAGGCUUUCGGGUUGUAAACUCCUGUCAUUUGGGAACAAGUUUGCGCGGUUAACUGCCGCGUAAUUGAUAGUACCAGAAGAGGAAGAGACGGCUAACUCUGUGCCAGCAGCCGCGGUAAU
rnacentral:rRNA from 1 species